rnacentral:misc_RNA from 1 species
AAAAAAAAAGGAAAGAAAAUUAGGAAUCCUCUACUAAUGCACAACAUUCAUUCAUAAAAGUCAUUGUCUUUUCUAGACUUGUAGAUGCAUUGGACUGUGAAUUGCAGAUGCGCUAUUUCCAAUUUCCCCUAAUGCUCUACUUAGGAGUAGAUUUAUGUAGUUUAUAUUAGAAAGCUCACAGAACGUGCUCCUCUGUUUCCAGCAAUUUCUAGAAGUUCUAAAAGUCUAUUCUAAAGAAAGUCAAUGAAACCAUUUCCACCACUUGUUUCAUUUGUCAUCCUAUUGAACACAUUUUCAUAUGCACCUUUUAUAUUUCCUCUAUCUUGGAAGAAGGAAAACCCUUCCAUUCAGAUUUCUCAAACCAAGACACGCAUGGAAGGUAGGAACCUUUUUUUUCUGGGUUCAUGAAUUAUGCAGGCUCUUCCCUUUAAGGCCUGAUUAUUU